rnacentral:rRNA from 1 species
GACGAACGCUGGCGGCGCGCCUAACACAUGCAAGUCGAACGAGCGAGAGAGAGCUUGCUUUCUCAAGCGAGUGGCGAACGGGUGAGUAACGCGUGAGGAACCUGCCUCAAAGAGGGGGACAACAGUUGGAAACGACUGCUAAUACCGCAUAAGCCCACGACCCGGCAUCGGGUUGAGGGAAAAGGAGCAAUCCGCUUUGAGAUGGCCUCGCGUCCGAUUAGCUAGUUGGUGAGGUAACGGCCCACCAAGGCGACGAUCGGUAGCCGGACUGAGAGGUUGAACGGCCACAUUGGGACUGAGACACGGCCCAGACUCCUACGGGAGGCAGCAGUGGGGAAUAUUGCACAAUGGGGGAAACCCUGAUGCAGCGACGCCGCGUGGAGGAAGAAGGUCUUCGGAUUGUAAACUCCUGUUGUUGAGGAAGAUAAUGACGGUACUCAACAAGGAAGUGACGGCUAACUACGUGCCAGCAGCCGCGGUAAAACGUAGGUCACAAGCGUUGUCCGGAAUUACUGGGUGUAAAGGGAGCGCAGGCGGGAAGACAAGUUGGAAGUGAAAUCUAUGGGCUCAACCCAUAAACUGCUUUCAAAACUGUUUUUCUUGAGUAGUGCAGAGGUAGGCGGAAUUCCCGGUGUAGCGGUGGAAUGCGUAGAUAUCGGGAGGAACACCAGUGGCGAAGGCGGCCUACUGGGCACCAACUGACGCUGAGGCUCGAAAGUGUGGGUAGCAAACAGG